rnacentral:rRNA from 1 species
UGGAUGGGCUCACGGCCUAUCAGCUUGUUGGUGGGGUAAUGGCUCACCAAGGCGACGACGGGUAGCCGGCCUGAGAGGGUGACCGGCCAGACUGGGACUGAGACACGGCCCAGACUCCUACGGGAGGCAGCAGUGGGGAAUAUUGCACAAUGGGCGAAAGCCUGAUGCAGCGACGCCGCGUGAGGGAUGACGGCCUUCGGGUUGUAAACCUCUUUCAGUAGGGAAGAAGCGAUAGUGACGGUACCUGCAGAA